rnacentral:rRNA from 1 species
UACGUAGGAGGCGAGCGUUGUCCGGAAUUACUGGGCGUAAAGAGCGCGUAGGCGGCACGGUACGACCGGUGUGAAAGCCCCCGGCUCAACUGGGGAGGGUCACCGGUAACGGUCGAGCUAUGAGUGCAGGAGAGGGAAGUGGAACUCCGGGAGUAGCGGUGAAAUGCGUAGAGACCCGGAGGGACACCAGUGGCGAAGGCGGCUUCCUGGUCUGCGACUGACGCUGUGGCGCGAAAGCUAGGGGAGCAAACGGG